rnacentral:rRNA from 1 species
GACGAACCGAGCGAACGUUGUUCGGAAUCACUGGGCUUAAAGGGCGCGUAGGCGGGCGGUCAAGUCAGGGGUGAAAGCCCCCAGCUCAACUGGGGAAGUGCCUCUGAUACUGGCCGUCUCGAGGGGGAUAGGGGCGUGCGGAACUUCCGGUGGAGCGGUGAAAUGCGUAGAUAUCGGAAGGAACAUCGGUGGCGAAGGCGGCCCUCUGGACGGAUACUGACGCUGAGACGCGAAAGCGUGGGGAGCAAACAGG